rnacentral:rRNA from 1 species
GUUGCAAUGUGUUAAAAGCUCGUAGUUGGAUAUCUGGGGGAGUGCGUAGCUGCAUCUUGUAGCUUACGGACUUUCUCCAUCCUUCUGUUAAGACCGCAGUACUUGUAUUGCGGUUAGCGCGGAUAUUUUACCUUGAGAAAAUUAGAGUGUUUCAGGCAGGCAAGGCCGGAAUACAAAAGCAUGGAAUAAUGGAAUUGACGUUGCUCUGUGGUUGUACAGAGUUUGCGUAACGGUUAAUAGGAACAGUUGGGGGCAUUAGUAUUUAAUUGUCAGAGGUGAAAUCCUUGGAUUUGUUAAAGACUAACUAAAGCGAAAGCAUUU